UGGGGAAUAUUGCACAAUGGGGGAAACCCUGAUGCAGCGACGCCGCGUGAAGGAAGAAGUAUUUCGGUAUGUAAACUUCUAUCAGCAGGGAAGAAACUGACGGUACCUGACUAAGAAGCACCGGCUAAAUACGUGCCAGCAGCCGCGGUAAUACGUAUGGUGCAAGCGUUAUCCGGAUUUACUGGGUGUAAAGGGAGCGUAGACGGAGAGGCAAGUCUGAAGUGAAAGCCCGGGGCUCAACCCCGGGACUGCUUUGGAAACUGCAGUUCUAGAGUGCCGGAGAGGUAAGCGGAAUUCCUAGUGUAGCGGUGAAAUGCGUAGAUAUUAGGAGGAACACCAGUGGCGAAGGCGGCUUACUGGACGGUGACUGACGUUGAGGCUCGAAAGCGUGGGGAGCAAACA
rnacentral:rRNA from 2 species